rnacentral:rRNA from 1 species
UACGAAGGGGGCUAGCGUUGCUCGGAAUCACUGGGCGUAAAGGGUGCGUAGGCGGCCUCAUAAGUCCGCUGUGAAAGUCAAAGGCUCAACCUUUGAAAGCCGGUGGAUACUGUGAGGCUAGAGUACGGAAGAGGCGAGUGGAAUUCCUGGUGUAGCGGUGGAAUGCGCAGAUAUCAGGAGGAACACCAAUAGCGAAGGCAGCUCGCUGGGACGUUACUGACACUGAGGCGCGAAAGCGUGGGGAGCGAACAGG